rnacentral:rRNA from 1 species
UCAUUUUACAAAAAAAAGGGGCCUUAGGGGGAGGAUACCCUCGGGAAACUCGAUUAAUAAUACUCCAUAGAUUUAGAAUGCUGGAAUGCUUUUAAAUUGAAAGACUAUCAGGUCGUAGUUAGGGUAAAUACCUGACUAGCCUACGACGGAUACGGGUUGUGAGAGCACUAGCCCGGAGAUGAUAUCUGAGACACGAUAUCAGGCCCUACGGGGCGCAACAGGCGCGAAAACUUCGCACUGUGCGAAAGCACAACGAGGGAAUCCCAAGUGCUGGCUCGUAAAAGUCAGCUGUUUCUUUGUCUAAAAAACAGAGAGAGUAAGAGCUGGGUAAGACGGGUGCCAGCCGCCGCGGUAAUACCUGCAGCUCAAGUGGUGGCCGCUAUUAUUGGGCCUAAAACGUCCGUAGCCGGUUCUAUAAAUGCCUGGGUAAAUCGUACGGCUUAACCGUACGAAUUCCGGGUAGACUGUUCAACUUGGGACCGGGAGAGGCUAGAGGUACUCCUGGGGUAGAGGUGAAAUUCUGUAAUCCUAGGGGGACCACCAGUGGCGAAGGCGUCUAGCUAGAACGGGUCUGACGGUGAGGGACGAAGCCCUGGGGAGCAAACGGGAUUAGAUACCCCGGUAGUCCUGGGUGUAAACGCUGCUCGCUUGAUGUUAGUCGGGCUCCGAGCCCAACUAGUGUCGGAGAGAAGUUGUUAAGCGAGCUGCCUGGGAAGUACGGUCGCAAGACUGAAAUUUAAAGGA